rnacentral:rRNA from 1 species
UACGAAGGGGGCGAGCGUUGUUCGGAUUUACUGGGCGUAAAGGGCUCGUAGGUGGCCAACUAAGUCGGACGUGAAAUCCCUCAGCUUAACUGGGGAACUGCGUCCGAUACUGGAUGGCUUGAGUUUGGGAGAGGGAUGCGGAAUUCCAGGUGUAGCGGUGAAAUGCGUAGAUAUCUGGAGGAACACCGGUGGCGAAGGCGGCAUCCUGGACCAACACUGACACUGAGGAGCGAAAGCCAGGGGAGCAAACGGG